GUUGGACGAUGGCCACGGGACCCCUCCCCUCCUGCCCCCAUCAUCAUCGCUCCGCUCUUCCCCCUGCUUUCCUCUCUUCCUUUCUGCCCGCCCCCUGCUCGUUCUCUUUCCCAUAAACUUUGUGACAUGCUCCACAGCGCUGCCAGACACGCUCCUCGCCCGCUGGACUGAGACCGUUUCCCACGGUGCUGCGGGAGGCUGUGACCGUCGGCGACCCGCCCGCUCGCUCGCUCUCCACCUGUCCGCCCGUCGAACCAGUUGAAUCACUUACAGCUUCAGCCAGGGUGAAAGACCAGGAGGAUGGUAUAGACCUGCCCUGCAGCUCCCCCCUCUUCACCAAGCUCAGAGCGUGACAAGCUUCUCCACAGCGCCCUCCAGUGGAGCCCCCCAGCCAGCGCAGCCCUUCCACCAUGGAUCUGGUCAACAACCGAGGCCUGAACCUCAUGCUCAACUUCCUCCUCAUCGUGGUGGUGCUGCUCCUCAUGCUCAUCCUGGUCAAGCUCAUGUGAGCCGGGCCCCGCCCUCAAAACCACAGUCAUGACUUAACUCAGCCGGCGAGACCUGGGGACCUGAGCAUAACGAUGCCCACCAGCAGGGGGAGCUGCACUGACUCAAACACUGUAAGGCCGGGUCCAUAGUGAAAAGCCAGAGGACCUCGGGAAUGGCUUUCUCCAGGAUGUGUGGGAGCUUACUGAGCCCCACAGGGAGGUAAUAUUAGGCAUCACUUCGGCAUCACCCUCAUCAAAAUUUUACGGAUCGACAUUAACCGAGAUCAGAGAUUAAAAGAGUUUGCAAUGAACGACCUAUAAGCCUUGGUGAUAACAUUAGCGUAUAAUUACGGGAUAUAAACCCGUGCGAUUUAUUCACAGCUGCGUCAACAGUGUUUUCAAACUGAAAAACACAUCACCAAUGCAAGUGACUCCAUCUAGUGGCAAACAGGUUAACUGCAUGAAAUGCAUUCAUGCCCGUUGAUUAUAUAAACGACUGCCAGUUACAUCUGUUCUAAAUAAUUUGCAUUUAGUAAGGCUAUUCCAAUCAAAUCUUAUCUUUUGUUGGUUUUCAGUGCUCCCAUCAAGCACUUUCAAUCACAGAAAUAAUAAUGUAAAAUGCUAACCAAAAGUCAUCGAGUAUACAUGGAACAAAACAAAAUUGUCACAGCUGUAGCAUAAUGGCAGCCCUUGCUGUACAGUGUAAGCUUUCUGUAAUGGCGCCCUGAGCGACAACUGAGGCACUUAUGCUAUAUGACAGCCUCACGCUAAGUUGGGUCCUUUAGGGAAAAGUGUGCAGUGCAUAUACUCAGUCACAACUUUCACACUAUUUGUACUCACGGUGGAAAAGAUUUUUCUUUGGCACACCUAGUGCUCUGUUCUCUUAAUAGCAUUGCAUAUUCAUGUGUGAACAAACAUGCUAACUGUGGUUCAGCCCUGUUCUUCUGCAUGUUGAUAUGUCGGUUACCAUAUCCGUUACCUUGAGAAACGGGGCUCCUGUACCCCAAUUACUUUUUGGACACAUAAAAUGGACAAAUGCUGCAAUCCUCUGGGAAAAUAUUGAUCUGUACCAAAUUGUUAAAUAAGAGAAAAUAUGACAAUUUGUUCUGUAUAUCUACAAUGCUAGCGAUGCGGGCAAAGUUUUAAAAGUAAAACGCUACCUGACCUUCCAAAUAUUUUCUUCCAAUCCAAAUGACAAAGACAGUCAGACCACUGAAAGGGACUCAGGUCAGCCAGGUAAUGCUCUCCUUAAAAUCACACAUCACCCUGAUUAAUGUUUAUACAUAUUUAACAGGUAUAUAUCUACAUGCAGAGCACCGUUAAGUUCUUGUUGUGUUUGUGAUGUUCAUUUCAGUUUUUUGCACCAUGUAUGAUUCUUGCAAGAUUCUUGCGAGAUGAGUUUGCUCUUGGGUAUAAGGACAAAUAAAUUUCAGCUAUAAAAACAUAAAAA